UGCCCACCACUAUAUGGUGAGAUAAAGAAGGAGACAAUGAAGCAUUUAACCAGCAUUUCUGACUAGCAAGAACACUUCAGUGGUAGCCCUGGUGCAGUUCAAUGCAGUCUUAUCAAGAGUUUGAAACUGGGGAAGCCAAUGUGGCACAGCAGAGGAUAAAAAAGCACAGGAGCACCAGCAGGGGCUGUGGAAAACAUGGUUAAGUUUGAAAGCAGAGGGGAAGAACAGUGUGGAGAACAGAGUGGAGAACAGUGACAUGAGCAACUAUACAAUCAGCUAAAGCAUUGUUUGAGCAUUUUGAAGGCUUCUGAUGAGUACAGCGCUCCAUGACUUGACUGCUGGUGGUUAAAUAGUGACAGGCAUUGCUGAACUUUGCCCCAGGUAGCUCCGCAAAGGGUUUGGAAAUGGAAAGGUGGGUGACACAACCCGUGCGUGUUUCCUGGGUGCGCUUUGAUUCCCAACGGACAGUGAGUCAUGGAGGGUGAUAAAUUAUAGUAUUUCUCCAUGGGUGUAAGAAGCUGGCCUUUCCUAGCACAAAACAAGGACUCGGUAAUGCCUCACACAUUGCAAAGAUCACUGCCUACGAACACAAGCCAGGCCUAGAGCGGAUGUCGGAUCCCCCUGCAGGUGGAGAAGUCUUAAAAUGCAGCUUCCAAGUGCAAGAAAUGGAGUCCAUCAGAAACAAAGCUGAAACACCAAACAAGUCUCAGCAAACAGUUCUGUUGUUAGUAAGGCAUGGGAACUAUGUGCGAAUUGUUCAUUGUUGGGUUCUGCAUCCAUAAUUUUUAGUGAAAAUAUGGGAAGUGUAAAUUAGAUAUUACACAGAGGCUAUUCAAAAUUUUUAAUGAUACAGACCUGGAUUUUACAAAAUUUAGCUACAAGUUUAUAGGGCACUGAGGAGGUUCCUGGAAUAGGACUUUGUCUGGGUCAUUCAAUUCACAUAUUUCAAAUUUUUUUUUUUAAAAAUAAGCAUCAAGAGACAUCCUCUUGCUAAAGCUUUCAGAAAUUGCUUA